GGAUGUCGGCUCCUGGUAGGAGCGGUGGCGUCAGCCACAGGGUCGGUUCGAUUCCGGCACAUCCACCA
rnacentral:tRNA from 2 species